UACAGAGGUCCCAAGCGUUGUUCGGAUUCAUUGGGCGUAAAGGGCGCGUAGGCGGCGGGGUAAGUCGGGUGUGAAAUCUCAGAGCUCAACUCUGAAACUGCACUCGAUACUGCUCUGCUUGAGGACUGGAGAGGAGACUGGAAUUCACGGUGUAGCAGUGAAAUGCGUAGAUAUCGUGAGGAAGACCAGUGGCGAAGGCGGGUCUCUGGACAGUUCCUGACGCUGAGGCGCGAAGGCCAGGGGAGCAAACGGG
rnacentral:rRNA from 1 species